GCCAAUUUACAAACCUUCUUUAACUUCUGCUUUAAGCCCAACUCGUUUGCGGCCCAUUAAUUAACACUGUUAAUUUAUGGCGAUAACACUCGCGCCCGCACGGCCGGCAACGCCUGCGCAAGGAUGGAGGCUGACGGCCAUCUACUUCGACAUGUACAUGAAAGGUGUCCUCUUCUUACCCUUAGGUGCAUGCAUGUUGUAUUCAUCUGCAACUUGCUUCCAAUAAUGAGGCCCUGAUUUUGAAUUGCUAUCUAUUGGGUCAUUGGAGUUGUUUAUCCAAGAACUUAUCAAUCGAAGAUUGUCUUCUUCAGACCAAUACAUCCUCCCACCUUUCUUUUCCUCAUCUGAACCUACAUCACUCCAUUCUUCACCUCUGACUGCAUCUUUGUUUGUAUGCUCUAUAGGAAGCAUUGGAGAGGUGAUUGGAGAAGUUGAGCCCUCACCUCUUGAACCACCAACUCCAAACAUAGCAACUGAACCAAUUGGUGAAGAUGGACCACCAGCCAUGUCGCCCCCAUGAAAAUUGCCAGGGAAAGGAAUGCCAUGCUGGUAACUUGCUGCUGGAAAUUGGUAACCUUGUUGGACACCAAAUGGAUUGAAAUUUGGUGGGUAGUACUGAGGUGCAAAUGGGUUGGGACCAAAUUGAUGGGGUGGACAAUUCAUGGGAAAAUGGGGUGGAAAACCAGGCUGUUGUUGGGUGUUUGGGUAUUGAAGAUUUGAGCUUUGGAUUUCUGAAUUCAUCAGAUUUGUAAAGCUAGAUGUAGAAUGGUUCUCCAUUGUGGUAAUGUGUGAGUUUGAAUGUAUGAAGUUCAUGUAUAUAGAGGAGCAGGCAAGCAAGUCCCUCUGUAAAUGGCUAUACCAACGCCCAACCGCCAUAUGUACUAUAUAAAUGCUUAUUUUAUUUGGAAUGGGAGGAGGGGGAGGUAACGUCUAUAUGCAUGGCCCAUUAUUUUA